UGCAUGGCUGUACUAGGUCAGCUCAGU
rnacentral:piRNA from 1 species